AAUACAACCUAAAAGCAUAAACAUAAACUGAAAAACAAUCACGUGUCCAUAAACCGAAAAACAAUCACGCGUCCAAAGCCCCUACUCCAGUCGAGAAAACAAAAACGAAAAUGUAAAGACAAAACCUAUAACAGUGCAAAAUCCCAAAAUCAAAACAAAACAUAACCAGAACCCUAAAACAAUCAAAGGAACCAGUCUGCAAUAACCUUCCUUCUCUAUCAAAAUGACCAAAACCUCCUUGCUAAACUCACCAAUGAAACAAUGGAGAAGGAAAGGAGAUUAAAAGGACCCUUUUCCCAUAGUAUAAAGACCUCAAUCCCAAACAGACCCAUACCAGUCUAACUUCAUAGCGAGUUUAUCCACGUCCGAUCCUCUGCUACGAUCUCAUGAACCUUUGAAGGAACUUCAUCUACUAGAACAGGUCAGUUAAACCUUGCCAGCCAAUCCCCGCCAUUGCAUGUGCAGCAACAUUACAACUUCUAGGAGUGAAUUUAAAACUACAUGCCUCGAAACUUCUCAACAAAGCUAUCCUAGGUAAUUAGAUGUAUAACUAAAUAGUCUUUUGCGUUUGUAUAUAAUUUUAGUAUUAUAGUCUUCAAAUCACUCUCCAGGAUGAUUUUCCAGAAACCUAUUUCUUGGGAAAAUUGGAGCCCAUGCAAAACUGUCAUCGCCUCUGCCAUGAAAAUCGUGCUGACCUAGCUAUGGAAUUGAUAACUCGAACCCAAUAUUUGCCCCAACUCAUCUCUAACAAUAAUCCCUUAUAUCGCUUUUUGAUUUGGUCCCAAAUCUCCCGCAUCGACAUUUACCUUGACCUACGAUGACGGUGGAAGAGUCCAACGUGCUACAACAACUAGAGAAGGGUGCCUCAAAACUGUACUCAGCGCCCGAUAUUCUUGCCCAUAAUCGCGAAUAAAGAUUAGCGUGUGAUCGGGAGAUCGGAUCAACAUAUCAAGCCACACUAUCCAGUUUAAUCCAGUAGUUUUUGAAAUGUAAAUUUUGGUUUAUAUGGCAUGUAUAGGGUUGGUUUGGCAAUGAAAUAGUUUGAAUUAUGGUGGUGAAUUUUAAAUGUUUGUAUGUAUGUAAUUAGUAGUAGAAUUUGAUAAAUCAAUGAAAUGAGUUAAAUGGGUAAGUAUAAGUAAUUGAUGUAUAUGUAAUGUUAUAUUAUGUUUAGAA